AGAGUGGUCAGCUUGUCAUCCUUCGUCGAAAAAUUAAACUGUGUAUAUGUGUAAAAUAUUACGUUUUAGAGGUAUAUAAUACAUAUUGAACAUCCUUUGUCGGGUUCACUUCUUUCAGAUUUGAAUACUCUUGGGUAAAUUCCUCGCUUCUCCACUGAACAACAUAGCAUUAGAAAGACCAUCUUUUUUCCUUACCAGAACAAGCUGCAACAAACAGCAAUAUUAUGUUACAUUUCAAGACUCAAACUCACAUUUAAAGAAAGAAAAAAUACUCACCUUAUAUACCCAGAAACAGUAACCAAUCAACUUCGUGAAGCCUAAAACUUCACCAAACUUAGGAGGCAUUUGUUCAACACCACUUCUUGCAAAGAGCAAAUUUCUAGUUGUUUUUUUAAAACUUUGUUUUUUUUUUAAGUUUAUGAAAUGUUAUGCGAAAAAUCUAUCAAUUUUUUGCAAGAACUUCCUCCAAAGGACACCUUAACAUUCGGAUAAUAGCAAGUGAAAAAAAAAACUAAAAUCACCGGCUUCAAAAAAAAAAAUUCAAAAGCUUAAAAUGUUGAAGUCAAAUUUGUGAAACCUGAAUGUUCAAAGGCAAUGGCGGGCAGCAAUGAGAAACAGGCCAAGUGCGAGAGCUUGUGGACGGAAUUCGAGCCCUAAUUCAGUUUUCUCUCUUG
rnacentral:lncRNA from 1 species